UACGAAGGGGGGCUAGCGUUGUUCGGAAUCACUGGGCGUAAAGCGCACGCAGGCGGAUUGUUAAGUCAGGGGUGAAAUCCCGAGGCUCAACCUCGGAACUGCCUUUGAUACUGGCAAUCUUUGAGUCCGGGAGAGGUGAGUGGAACUCCGAGUGUAGAGGUGAAAUUCGUAGAUAUUCGGAAGAACACCAGUGGCGAAGGCGGCUCACUGGCCCGGUACUGACGCUCAGGUGCGAAAGCGUGGGGAGCAAACAGG
rnacentral:rRNA from 1 species